UACAGAGGGGGCAAGCGUUGUUCGGAAUUACUGGGCGUAAAGGGCGCGUAGGCGGCCUGUUAAGUCGAACGUGAAAUCCCCGGGCUCAACCCGGGAACUGCGUCCGAUACUGGCAGGCUUGAAUUCGGGAGAGGGAUGCGGAAUUCCAGGUGUAGCGGUGAAAUGCGUAGAUAUCUGGAGGAACACGGGUGGCGAAGGCGGCAUCCUGGACCGAGAUUGACGCUGAGGCGCGAAAGCCAGGGGAGCAAACGGG
rnacentral:rRNA from 1 species